rnacentral:lncRNA from 1 species
UGCUCUUAUACAUUAAGAUCUUAAUGUUGUGCUCCUUCUUUGCACCUUGAUGCGUUGUCUAUUUCAUACUUAGAAAUAGCUUACAAAUAGUACUUUGAUAAAUCUCAAAUUAUAUCGAAAAUUGUUUGUUCAGCUUUCAUGUCUUUAUAAAGUUCAUUGUUAAUAAUAUGAACUUAAAAUGAUUUUAUUUUCCACAAAUAUUUCAUUUCAUUUUCUUAUUAUUCUUAUUUUGAAAAUAAUGUCCUUGUGUCCAAUUUGUCGUGCUAAUGGAUGACUUUAGUACUUGACAAUGCGUGACUUAUAUGUGACUAUGAUGCAUGACCAAUGCAUAUGCGACCUCAGUGAUUGACAACUUGGACACAAGAAUCAAGUUCCAAAAUAACAUAAUUCUCAAAAAAAUUCAAAUUUCAAAAUGCUCCUCUAAAAUAUCAUCAAAUUCUUUUUACCUUUAUUAAACUGGUUUAUUAUAGUAUACUGAAACUAAAGUCCGAAUUGCUAAAAAAUAUUUUCAAUUUGUAAAUUUUAAUACAUUCAAAACCUCGAUCACCAGAAACUUAUUUGUCAUGUACAAAUAAAAGAAAUUAACAAAAAACAAUCAAGAAUUGUGUACUUACCGAGUCGCUUAACUGGUUAUUAUGAACCUAGCCUCCUAGUACAAAACCACUAUUUUCAUACUGGACGCACUUCUAGCAAAUACUAAAACAAACAUUAUCACAUUAUUUCAAAUCAUAUAAUUCAACAACCAAUACAUCUUAACAAUACUCAUGGCAACAUAGUCAUAGUAGUAAGAAUAAUAACAAUAAUAAUUAUUAUGAAUUCAAUAAUAAAAAUCAUAUAUUAAGGUAAGUUAAGCGUCAACUUACAAACUUAUUGUUCCUCAAGUUGCAUAGCUUUCAAAACUCUUAUGGAGUGAGUUGGAUGAAAUCUAAAUAAAUAGAAAGCAAAAUUAGUAUGUGCUUUUAUACAUUAAGAUCUUGAAGUUGUGCUCCU